GCUUAACACAUGCAAGUCGAACGGAAAGGCCCUGCUUUUGUGGGGUGCUCGAGUGGCGAACGGGUGAGUAACACGUGAGUAACCUGCCCUUGACUUUGGGAUAACUUCAGGAAACUGGGGCUAAUACCGGAUAGGAGCUCCUGCUGCAUGGUGGGGGUUGGAAAGUUUCGGCGGUUGGGGAUGGACUCGCGGCUUAUCAGCUUGUUGGUGGGGUAGUGGCUUACCAAGGCUUUGACGGGUAGCCGGCCUGAGAGGGUGACCGGCCACAUUGGGACUGAGAUACGGCCCAGACUCCUACGGGAGGCAGCAGUGGGGAAUAUUGCACAAUGGGCGGAAGCCUGAUGCAGAAACGCCGCGUGCGGGAUGACGGCCUUCGGGUUGUAAACCGCUUUCGCCUGUGACGAAGCGUGAGUGACGGUAAUGGGUAAAGAAGCACCGGCUAACUACGUGCCAGCAGCCGCGGUGAUACGUAGGGUGCGAGCGUUGUCCGGAUUUAUUGGGCGUAAAGGGCUCGUAGGUGGUUGAUCGCGUCGGAAGUGUAAUCUUGGGGCUUAACCCUGAGCGUGCUUUCGAUACGGGUUGACUUGAGGAAGGUAGGGGAGAAUGGAAUUCCUGGUGGAGCGGUGGAAUGCGCAGAUAUCAGGAGGAACACCAGUGGCGAAGGCGGUUCUCUGGGCCUUUCCUGACGCUGAGGAGCGAAAGCGUGGGGAGCGAACAGGCUUAGAUACCCUGGUAGUCCACGCUGUAAACGGUGGGUACUAGGUGUGGGGUCCAUUCCACGGGUUCCGUGCCGUAGCUAACGCUUUAAGUACCCCGCCUGGGGAGUACGGCCGCAAGGCUAAAACUCAAAGGAAUUGACGGGGCCCCGCACAAGCGGCGGAGCAUGCGGAUUAAUUCGAUGCAACGCGUAGAACCUUACCUGGGUUUGACAUGGAUCGGGAGUGCUCAGAGAUGGGUGUGCCUCUUUUGGGGUCGGUUCACAGGUGGUGCAUGGCUGUCGUCAGCUCGUGUCGUGAGAUGUUGGGUUAAGUCCCGCAACGAGCGCAACCCUUGUUCACUGUUGCCAGCACGUUAUGGUGGGGACUCAGUGGAGACCGCCGGGGUCAACUCGGAGGAAGGUGGGGAUGACGUCGAGUCAUCAUGCCCCUUAUGUCCAGGGCUUCACGCAUGCUACAAUGGCUGGUACAGAGAGUGGCGAGCCUGUGAGGGUGAGCGAAUCCCGGAAAGCCGGUCUCAGUUCGGAUUGGGGUCUGCAACUCGACCUCAUGAAGUCGGAGUCGCUAGUAAUCGCAGAUCAGCAACGCUGCGGUGAAUACGUUCCCGGGGCU
rnacentral:rRNA from 1 species